GGUUAAGCGACUAAGCGUACACGGUGGAUGCCCUGGCAGUCAGAGGCGAUGAAGGACGUGCUAAUCUGCGAUAAGCGUCGGUAAGGUGAUAUGAACCGUUAUAACCGGCGAUUUCCGAAUGGGGAAACCCAGUGUGAUUCGUCACACUAUCAUUAACUGAAUCCAUAGGUUAAUGAGGCGAACCGGGGGAACUGAAACAUCUAAGUACCCCGAGGAAAAGAAAUCAACCGAGAUUCCCCCAGUAGCGGCGAGCGAACGGGGAGGAGCCCAGAGCCUGAAUCAGUGUGUGUGUUAGUGGAAGCGUCUGGAAAGGCGCGCGAUACAGGGUGACAGCCCCGUACACAAAAAUGCACAUACUGUGAGCUCGAUGAGUAGGGCGGGACACGUGGUAUCCUGUCUGAAUAUGGGGGGACCAUCCUCCAAGGCUAAAUACUCCUGACUGACCGAUAGUGAACCAGUACCGUGAGGGAAAGGCGAAAAGAACCCCGGCGAGGGGAGUGAAAAAGAACCUGAAACCGUGUACGUACAAGCAGUGGGAGCCUCUUUAUGGGGUGACUGCGUACCUUUUGUAUAAUGGGUCAGCGACUUAUAUUCUGUAGCAAGGUUAACCGAAUAGGGGAGCCGAAGGGAAACCGAGUCUUAACUGGGCGUUAAGUUGCAGGGUAUAGACCCGAAACCCGGUGAUCUAGCCAUGGGCAGGUUGAAGGUUGGGUAACACUAACUGGAGGACCGAACCGACUAAUGUUGAAAAAUUAGCGGAUGACUUGUGGCUGGGGGUGAAAGGCCAAUCAAACCGGGAGAUAGCUGGUUCUCCCCGAAAGCUAUUUAGGUAGCGCCUCGUGAAUUCAUCUCCGGGGGUAGAGCACUGUUUCGGCAAGGGGGUCAUCCCGACUUACCAACCCGAUGCAAACU
rnacentral:rRNA from 1 species